rnacentral:rRNA from 1 species
GACGAACGCUGGCGGCGUGCCUAAUACAUGCAAGUCGAACGCACUCUCGUUUAGAUUGAAGGAGCUUGCUCCUGAUUGAUAAACAUUUGAGUGAGUGGCGGACGGGUGAGUAACACGUGGGUAACCUGCCCUAAAGUGGGGGAUAACAUUUGGAAACAGAUGCUAAAUACCGCAUAAAACCUAACACCGCAUGGUGUAGGGUUGAAAGAUGGUUUCGGCUAUCACUUUAGGAUGGACCCGCGGUGCAUUAGUUAGUGGUGAGGUAAAGGCUCACCAAGACCGUGAUGCAUAGCCGACCUGAGAGGGUAAUCGGCCACACUGGGACUGAGACACGGCCCAGACUCCUACGGGAGGCAGCAGUAGGGAAUCUUCCACAAUGGACGAAAGUCUGAUGGAGCAACGCCGCGUGAGUGAAGAAGGUUUUCGGA